UACAGAGGUCUCAAGCGUUGUUCGGAUUCAUUGGGCGUAAAGGGUGCGUAGGCGGCGCGGUAAGUCGGGUGUGAAAUCUCGGAGCUCAACUCCAGAACUGCCUUUGAUACUGGCAAUCUCGAGUCCGGGAGAGGUGAGUGGAACUGCGAGUGUAGAGGUGAAAUUCGUAGAUAUUCGCAAGAACACCAGUGGCGAAGGCGGCUCACUGGCCCGGUACUGACGCUGAGGUGCGAAAGCGUGGGGAGCAAACAGG
rnacentral:rRNA from 1 species